GUGCCAGCCGCCGCGGUAAAACGUAGGAGGCGAGCGUUAUCCGGAUUUACUGGGCGUAAAGCGCGUGCAGGCGGUUCGGCAAGUUGGAUGUGAAAUCUCCCGGCUCAACUGGGAGGAGUCGUUCAAUACUACCGGACUUGAGGGCAGUAGAGGAAGGUGGAAUUCCCGGUGUAGUGGUGAAAUGCGUAGAUAUCGGGAGGAACACCAGUGGCGAAAGCGGCCUUCUGGACUGUACCUGACGCUCAUACGCGAAAGCUAGGGGAGCGAACGGGAUUAGAAACCCGCGUAGUCC
rnacentral:rRNA from 1 species